rnacentral:rRNA from 1 species
AGAACGAACGCUGGCGGCAGGCCUAACACAUGCAAGUCGAACGCCCUCGCAAGAGGGAGUGGCAGACGGGUGAGUAACGCGUGGGAACAUACCCUUUGGUUCGGAAUAGCUCAGGGAAACUUGGAUUAAUACCGGAUACGCCUUGUGAGCGAUCAUGAGGGAAAGAUUUAUCGCCAAAGGAUUGGCCCGCGUCUGAUUAGCUAGUUGGCGGGGUAACGCCCACCAAGGCGACGAUCAGUAGCUGGUCUGAGAGGAUGAUCAGCCACAUUGGGACUGAGACACGGCCCAAACUCCUACGGGAGGCAGCAGUGGGGAAUAUUGGACAAUGGGCGCAAGCCUGAUCCAGCCAUGCCGCGUGAGUGAUGAAGGCCUUAGGGUUGUAAAGCUCUUUUACCUGGGAAGAUAAUGACGGUACCAGGAGAAUAAGCCCGGCUAACUUCGCGCCAGCAGCCGC